GAUGAACGCUGGCGGCGUGCCUAAUACAUGCAAGUCGAGCGAACAGACGAGGAGCUUGCUCCUCUGACGUUAGCGGCGGACGGGUGAGUAACACGUGGAUAACCUACCUAUAAGACUGGGAUAACUUCGGGAAACCGGAGCUAAUACCGGAUAAUAUAUUGAACCGCAUGGUUCAAUAGUGAAAGACGGUUUUGCUGUCACUUAUAGAUGGAUCCGCGCCGCAUUAGCUAGUUGGUAAGGUAACGGCUUACCAAGGCAACGAUGCGUAGCCGACCUGAGAGGGUGAUCGGACACCCUGGAACUGAGACACGGUCCAGACUCCUGCGGGAGGCAGCAGUAGGGAAUCUUCCGCAAUGGGCGAAAGCUUGACGGAGCAACGCCGCGUGAGUGAUGAAGGUCUUCGGAUCGUAAAACUCUGUUAUUAGGGAAGAACAAAUGUGUAAGUAACUAUGCACGUCUUGACGGUACCUAAUCAGAAAGCCACGGCUAACUACGUG
rnacentral:rRNA from 1 species